rnacentral:rRNA from 1 species
GAUGAACGCUGACAGAAUGCUUAACACAUGCAAGUCAACUUGAAUUUGGGUUUUUAACUUAGAUUUGGGUGGCGGACGGGUGAGUAACGCGUAAAGAACUUGCCUCACAGCUAGGGACAACAUUUAGAAAUGAAUGCUAAUACCUGAUAUUAUGAUUUUAAGGCAUCUUAGAAUUAUGAAAGCUAUAAGCACUGUGAGAGAGCUUUGCGUCCCAUUAGCUAGUUGGAGAGGUAACAGCUCACCAAGGCGAUGAUGGGUAGCCGGCCUGAGAGGGUGAACGGCCACAAGGGGACUGAGACACGGCCCUUACUCCUACGGGAGGCAGCAGUGGGGAAUAUUGGACAAUGGACCGAAAGUCUGAUCCAGCAAUUCUGUGUGCACGAUGAAGUUUUUCGGAAUGUAAAGUGCUUUCAGUUGGGAAGAAAGAAAUGACGGUACCAACAGAAGAAGUGACGGCUAAAUACGUGCCAGCAGCCGCGGUAAUACGUAUGUCACGAGCGUUAUCCGGAUUUAUUGGGCGUAAAGCGCGUCUAGGUGGUUAUGUAAGUCUGAUGUGAAAAUGCAGGGCUCAACUCUGUAUUGCGUUGGAAACUGUAUAACUAGAGUACUGGAGGGGUAAGCGGAACUACAAGUGUAGAGGUGAAAUUCGUAGAUAUUUGUAGGAAUGCCGAUGGGGAAGCCAGCUUACUGGACAGAUACUGACGCUAAAGCGCGAAAGCGUGGGUAGCAAACAGG